UUCCUGGUGGUCCAGUGGUUAAGACUCUGCACUUCCAAUGCAGGGGGUGCUAGUUCCAUUCUUGGUCAGGAAC
rnacentral:tRNA from 1 species